UACGUAGGGUGCAAGCGUUGUCCGGAAUUAUUGGGCGUAAAGAGCUCGUAGGCGGUUUGUCACGUCGGAUGUGAAAACCCGAGGCUUAACCUCGGGCCUGCAUUCGAUACGGGCUGACUAGAGUUCGGUAGGGGAGACUGGAAUUCCUGGUGUAGCGGUGAAAUGCACAGAUAUCAGGAGGAACACCGGUGGCGAAGGCGGUUCUACUGGGAAUAUCCUGACGCUGAGGAGCGAAAGUGUGGGGAGCGAACAGG
rnacentral:rRNA from 1 species